rnacentral:rRNA from 1 species
GACGAACGCUGGCGGCGUGCUUAACACAUGCAAGUCGAGCGAUGACGCACCUUCGGGUGUGAAUUAGCGGCGAACGGGUGAGGAACACGUGAAGAAUCUGCCUUCAACUCUGGGAUAACUCCGGGAAACCGGGGCUAAUACCGGAUAUGAGCCUUGAUCGCAUGAUCGGGGCUGGAAAGUUUUUCGGUUGAAGAUGACUUCGCGGCCUAUCAGCUUGUUGGUGAGGUGAUGGCUCACCGAGGCGACGACGGGUAGCCGGCCUGGGAGAGCGACCCGCCACGCUGGGACUGAGACCCGGCCCAGAGUGCUACAGGAGGCAGUAGUCGGGAAUAUUGGGCAGUGGAGUAAACUCUGACCCAGCGACGACGCGUGAGGGAUGAAUGCCUUCGGGUUGUAAACCGCUGUCAGUAGGGAAGAAGCGAAAGUGACGGUACCUACAGAAGAAGCACCGGCUAACUAUGUGCCAGCCGCCGCCGUAA